ACGCUAGGGCCUGAGCCAGAGCCGCGAGGCUCAGAGCUUGUGGGUGCGACUGAAUACCUUAACCUGAUCUUGCGCGUACCCCUUCUCCUCUUCUAGAAAGUGUGUUCCUAAACCGGGCGUUGUGGUACACUCCUGUAAAUCCAGCACUCUCGCGAGCUGAGGAAGGAGAGUCAAGUUCAAUUCCCUUCUCUCAGAAUUUAAAAGUUAAAAGGGUAGGGGCUGGGGAUUUAGCUCAGCGGCAUAAGCGCCUGCCUUGCAAGCAGGCAGUUGUGAGUUAGAUCACCGGUCUAACUCACAAAAAGGAAAAAGACCAAAAAAAAAAAAAAAAAAAAAAAAAAGGUUAAAAGGGUUAAGGAUGUAGCUCAGUCUGCAGUACCACACACGAUAAGGAAAAUUAAAAUGUGUUCCUGCUCCCUACACUAAUGCCCCUGAGGAGAGGAACCCAGACCCUAGCAGAAAUGAGGUGCUUUAUUGAAAUCAGAGCGAACGAUUUUAAUAGCAAAGAAAGGGAAGGAAGCAAGAGGAGGGCGGUAAGAUCUCCAUGGUUACCCUAAAUUGCUCUCUCGGUGUGCAGACCCGGUGGAUACUGGAGAAUUGGCUGAAAAUAUCUUUGAGAUCCUGAAAUCGCUUAAUACUGUGUUGCUUUCUCCUUUUGCAACUUUCCUUCUCCAGGUGUGGAAGGGAGGGUGUGUGAAAGAGUCGCUAUGACCCAUUAACUGAAGAACAGUUGGUUUCUUGGAGGAAGGAGACUGGGCAGUAAGGGGAAGCUGAGACACAAAGUACCAUCUAAGACCUUCUAUUUUAUCCAGAAAGACCUUUACUUUGAGAGGCUAAAUGGUGUCAUUCCGCGAAUCCAAGUGGAGGUUCGACUUUGGCCCUGGACUCACACCCGCGCUCCAUCUCCACACCUUGUCUGUAACCCCAGGACGGAUCCGGCUUACCAUGUACAAAGAAAUAAACCCAGGGUCAUCUUGCUGAGCUAUAUCUCCAGCCUUCUUUUACUUUUUAAUUUUGAGACAAUAUUGGGCUCAAACGUGUGAUCCUCCUGCUUCAGCCUUCUAAAGUUCUGGGAUUGUGGACCACCACAAGGAGUUUGCUCCCAUUUUUUUUUUAAUCCACUGAGGCAAAAGCCUGUGGUGAGGCAAAACGUCAUGGUGGAGGUUGGAUGGGAGAUCAAAGCUGACCAACUAAUGUCAACCAGGAAGGAAGAGAGAGAGGAUGCAAAGACAUGCUCCCAAUAACCUACUUCUUCCAUCUACGUUUCAUCUUAUGCAUUUCUCUCUCCUCCCAAGCCGUAAAGCCAUGAAGGGAUUAAACUGCUCUUGAGAUCAGAGCCCUCCUGACCCAAUCACCUCCCAAAGGUUCUGCAACUGAAGCCUGCUACGUUGGGGACCAAGCCUUCAACACAUUAGCUUUGAGGAGUCAUCUAAGAUCUCCUCCACAACAAGCACUCAGUAAACGGCAGCUGCUUUUAUGACUUCUGUUACCAUCCUUACAAACCUGAGUUCUGGUCCUGACUUGCGACUAUAUCAUCUUGAGCAAGUCAUUGACCCCCUGGGUUUUGGUUUUCUCUUUCAUCAAAUGGGAAAAUGAUAGUGUCCACCUCAGAAGUUAUUAUGAGGAUUAAAAUGCAGGAAAAGUAUAUAAAAUGCUGAGCAAAGAACCUACACAGAGAAGGCACUGAUAACAAUGAUGGUGGUGGUGGCGAUGAUGAUGGUAACAACAAUGCUAAACCUCAUAUCCAACCUGGUUCUGUGACUUUCGCUGAGAGAAAGAAUCCUAAACUAGGCAUGGUGGCACAUGCCUGUAAAUUCCAGUCACUCAGGAGACUGGGGCAGAAAGAUUAUAAAUUCAAGGUCAGCUUGGGCAAGUUGGCAAGACUCUGGCUCAAAAAUAGAUAGAUGAUAGAUCGACAGAGAUAGAUAGAUAGAUAGAUAGAUAGGGGUGGGGACAAUUCAGUAGUAGUGCCUCUAUGGUUCAAUCUGUCAUAACACGCAGAAAUAAUCCUAUAACCAUACUCAACAUCACUGGGGUGUGGAGAGAACUAAAUAAGCCAUAGUAAAUAAAGUGCAUUGGAAUAGAAAGCCUAUAAGAAUUUAGAGAAAAGCAAGGAAAUCAGAGAGAUUUUGAAUGGAGUCCCAAUCCUGGCUAUGUUGCUUACUUAUUUUGUGAUUUUAAAAAAAUGUCUAUUUCUCGAAGCCUUGGUUACUUUGUCUUUAUAAGAGAGCUAGUAGUAGCUAUCCCACAAGGUUGUCAAGAUUAAAUGACAAUGUAUAGAGCUGUUGGCAUCUUUCCUGGCACACAGAUAAACUUAGGAAAUAUCUUCUUUUCUAUGUAUAGUAACUAUGCACAUUCAGGAUUUUGUAUUUUUUCCAAGGAGGAUAGUAUCUCCAAGAAUAUUUUGGCUUUGCUUAUGAGCUUCUCUAUGUGAAAGUUUAUUAGCUUGAAGAUGAAAGGUCUAUAAAAUUGAACUGCUGAAUGCAUCCUAUUUAAUUAUACAUCAAAUAUCCCAAUGCUGAAUAUUUUAUCAGUGGCAUUGCUGGCUGUUAGCAAGCGGAUCAUGGGGAAGAAAAACAAUCAAUUAAAGGGAGUUUGGUGUAACCCCAAUAAAGAGAAAUUAUUCUACUGCCAAGCAGAAGAAUGAGGUUUUCCAGAAAAUUUUUAGAAAACUGACCCAAAGCUUUCCAAAAGAAGCUCUGACAGUGUUUCACCAUAAUUCAUUUUCCAUCAGAUUAGUAGACUGGAAUAGCUUUUCUAAUUCUAAAUGUUUACAUCUUUUCUCCACUAUGCUACCUGACAAUUCAAUAGAAUCCACUUUUGAUGUAUUUCCUUGUCUACCAUUAAACUUUAUAACAGGUCA